rnacentral:piRNA from 1 species
UUUGAUAAGGAAACUUAAAUAAUGGAACA